AUCUAACUACGAUAAUAACGAAUGUCUAUAUUUUACCAAAAAUGCAACAUACAUGUUAAUCAACAAUAAAAUUUCAUCAUUUUCUGAUGCAAUAAAAAAAACAAGUAAUUAUCUUUGCACCCCAUUACUUCAUAACAUGCAAUCAACCAAAUCCAUAGCAACCAAUGGGAAGGCACAAUUUCUUCCUCAAAGUUUGUUCUUCUUCUUCAUUCCAUAUAUACAUAUAAAAUAGGCAAAAGUCUGAAAUCACCAAAAUUAUUUUUUGAACUCUCAAAAUAAGACCCUUACCCUGUGUGGUGGCACCAUGGCAUUCCCCAU
rnacentral:lncRNA from 1 species